AUACCUUAAACUUAUGAGUAAUGGAAAUAACGAUUCAGGGUGAUGCUCAAAUCCUCACUACUGAUGUAGCGUGAAUUUUUGAGUGGAAGAUUACCCCUAAGGUGAACCACCUACUUUGCAGGAUGCCUGGGUGUAGUCAUCUGCCCG
rnacentral:snRNA from 1 species